GACACUUUGAGGGAGAGCUGUUCUGGAUGAAAGGGUGGGAAGUGAGGCAGUGAGACAGACAGUCUGGCUGAGAAUUAAAAAGCCCAGGUUUCCAGGCAGGCCUGGGCUUGAAUCUCAGUCCAGUAGCUAUUGGGUUCAUGACACCCCUCUGACCCUUUUUCUUGUAAGAUGGAGAUAAUUCUGUUAAGUUAGAAAAAUAGAUGGGACAAAAAUUACCCCCAGGAUCGGUGUUCAUAUAUCUGAAGUCACAGACCCCCUCCAGGAGCCAGCUGGGUCCCCAGGUCCUGUAAUACCAGCUGUGGGUGCCCACGUCCACACUUGGUGGGGGUGCUGGGGACUGCGGCAAACUGGAUGCAGCUUACUGCAUCCUAAGCAUGCAGUGAUGGCAGCUCCAACCAAUAACUGCUACAAGUGAAAUGCAGGUCCAUUAUUGCAGGACUCCUAACUUUCCCAAGACAGGCAAAAAGUCUGGAUUUCUGUGAAAUCUCCCAAGUUUAAAAUGUCGGAUCAGACCUUGUCAAAGCACUGUUGGCUAAACAAAACGUCUGCCAGGCUGGAUUGGUCACUGGGCUGCCACUGAAAACUUUUAAAAUCUAACACAUAGUAGAUUAUUCUAAUUAUUACUAGAUUAAAUGACUAUAAAUGAUUAUUACUUAAUCUGAAAGCUUGUGCCUCUCCUUAUUAGGGUUUUCAGUGAGGGGCUUCUAACGACUUGAAUCUUGUUCCUUUAUCUCCUGAGUGGCCAGAACACUUCCACAUGUCAUCCUCAUCUUCUCCUAUCUGUCAUCCGUUCACUCAUCAAGUAUUCAGUAAACCUCCAUGUGCCAGACCAUGGCAGAAAGGAGGCUUCGGGCUUCCCACUGGAGUGGCUGCUGCAUGGUAUUCUCCAAGAGGACCCUUGGACCACCUGCCUGUGACUGCCAGCAGGUGGGUGGGUGCUGGAGUGUAUUUAUUAAACAUGCCAAUUCCCA
rnacentral:lncRNA from 1 species